ACCUCAGUAACGGCGAGUGAAGCGGUAAUAGCUCAAAUUUGAAAUCUGGCCCUUUCAGGGUCCGAGUUGUAAUUUGCAGAGGGCGCUUUGGAGUCGGCAGCAGCCUAAGUUCCUUGGAACAGGUCAUCAUAGAGGGUGAGAAUCCCGUAUGUGGCUGCUUGCCUUCGCCGUGUAAAGCCCCUUCGAUGAGUCGAGUUGUUUGGGAAUGCAGCUCUAAAUGGGAGGUAAAUUUCUUCUAAAGCUAAAUAUUGGCCAGAGACCGAUAGCGCACAAGUAGAGUGAUCGAAAGAUGAAAAGCACUUUGGAAAGAGAGUCAAAAAGCACGUGAAAUUGUUGAAAGGGAAGCGCUUGCAGCCAGACGUGCCCGCAGUUGCUCAUCUGGGGUUCUCCCCAGUGCACUCUUCUGUGGGCAGGCCAGCAUCAGUUCGGGCGGUUGGAGAAAGACCUGUGUCACGUAGCUCUCUUCGGGGAGUGUUAUAGGGCAGGUGGAAUGCAACCAGCCUGAACUGAGGUCCGCGCAUCUGCUAGGAUGCUGGCGUAAUGGCUGUAAGCGGCCCGUCUUGAAACACGGACCAAGGAGUCUAACAUCUAUGCGAGUGUUUGGGUGUCAAGCCCGAACGCGUAAUGAAAGUGAACGGAGGUGGGAACCCCUCGGGGUGCACCAUCGACCGAUCCUGAUGUCUUCGGAUGGAUUUGAGUAAGAGCAUAGCUGUUGGGACCCGAAAGAUGGUGAACUAUGCCUGAAUAGGGUGAAGCCAGAGGAAACUCUGGUGGAGGCUCGCAGCGGUUCUGACGUGCAAAUCGAUCGUCAAAUUU
rnacentral:rRNA from 1 species